rnacentral:rRNA from 1 species
GACACCCCUGAGGAUGAAUGGCUAGUACUGGCAGAACUCAGCUAUUUCUUCCGUGUUCUUUGUGCGAAAGAACUAUCGCCUGGCGUUCUAGAAGAAAUGGAAGAGUUGGCGCAGGAGUUGAUCUGCAAGUUAGAGAAGAUCUUUCCACCGGGCUUCUUUAAUCCAAUGCAGCAUUUGAUUUUGCAUCUCCCGACCGAGGCAAGAUUGGGGGGUGGGGGCGUGCAAAAUCGUUGGUGCUACCCAACUAAGAGGAUGCAGAAGACGCUUCGAGAAAAAUGUAAAAAUAAACAUAGAAUUGAAGCAUCGAUGGCUGAGGCAUUCAUCACAGAGGAGGCGGCAAACUUCGUAACAGCGCACUACGAA